rnacentral:rRNA from 1 species
UCAAGCGACUAAGUGUAUGUGGUGGAUGCCUUGGCGAUCACAGGCGAUGAAGGACGUGAAAGCCUGCGAAAAGCUGUGGGGAGCUGGCAAAUAAGCUUUGAUCCACAGAUCUCCGAAUGAGGGAACUCACUUGGCUUCGGCCAAGUAUCCAUGUCUGAAUACAUAGGGCAUGGAGGCGAACGCGGUGAACUGAAACAUCUAAGUAACCGCAGGAAAAGAAAUCAACCGAGAUUCCGAAAGUAGCGGCGAGCGAAAUCGGACGAGCCUAGUGCUUGAUAAUGCUGCCGACAGCAGAACGGUCUGGAAAGUCCGGCUACAGAGGGUGAUAGCCCCGUAUGCGAAGUCCGCAGCAUGGUACUAAGAGCACGAUAAGUAGGGCGGGACACGUGACAUCCUGUCUGAAGAUGGGGGGACCAUCCUCCAAGGCUAAAUACUCGUGAUCGACCGAUAGUGAACCAGUACUGUGAAGGAAAGGCGAAAAGAACCCCGGGAGGGGAGUGAAAUAGAUCCUGAAACCGCAUACAUACAAACAGUAGGAGCCUCUUUAUGGGGUGACUGCGUACCUUUUGCAUAAUGGGUCAGCGACUUACGUUCAAUGGCAAGCUUAACCGUAUAGGGGAGGCGCAGCGAAAGCGAGUUCGAACAGAGCGAUUUCAGUCGUUGGGCGUAGACCCGAAACCAGAUGAUCUAUCCAUGGUCAGGUUGAAGGUGUGGUAACACACACUGGAGGACCGAACCGACUAGUGUUGCAAAAUUAGCGGAUGAACUGUGGAUAGGGGUGAAAGGCUAAACAAAUCUGGAGAUAGCUGGUUCUCCCCGAAAACUAUUGAGGUAGUGCCUCGUGUAUGGCUCCAGGGGGUAGAGCACUGUUAUGGCUAGGGGGACAUGGCGUCUUACCAAACCAUGGCAAACUCCGAAUACUUGGAAGUCGAAGCACGGGAGACAGAGCACCGGGUGCUAACGUCCGGACUCAAAAGGGAAACAACCCAGACCGCCGGCUAAGGUCCCUAAUAUGAACUGAGUGGAAAACGAAGUGGGAAGGCUAAGACAGUCAGGAAGUUGGCUUAGAAGCAGCCAUCCUUCAAAGAAAGCGUAAUAGCUCACUGAUCGAGUCUUCCUGCGCGGAAGAUGUAACGGGGCUAAGUUCAUAACCGAAGCCGCGGAUUCACACGCAAGUGUGAGUGGUAGGGGAGCGUUCUGUAAGCCUGCGAAGGUGACUCGCAAGGGUUGCUGGAGGUAUCAGAAGUGCGAAUGCUGACAUGAGUAACGUUAAAGCGGGUGAAAAGCCCGCUCGCCGUAAGCCCAAGGUUUCCUGCUCUACGUUCAUCGGAGCAGGGUGAGUCGGCCCCUAAGGCGAGGCUGAGAAGCGUAGCUGAUGGGAACAAGGUUAAUAUUCCUUGACCGCCGUUGAGUGCGAAGGGGGGACGGAGUGUUGAAGAUCAUCCGGGUGUUGGAUGUCCCGGUUUCCGCGCGUAGGAGGUCUGCAGGCAAAUCCGCAGACGAAUCUCCGAGGCAAAGGAUCGAGUCCCAUUGGGGACGAAGUGAUUGGAUGGACUUCCAGGAAAAGCCUCUAAGCUCCAGCUCAACGGGACCGUACCGCAAACCGACACUGGUGGGCGAGCUGAAUAUGCUCAGGCGCUUGAGAGAACUCAGGAGAAGGAACUCGGCAAAUUGACACCGUAACUUCGGGAUAAGGUGUGCCUUGGUAGCGUGGAGGGAGAAACACCCCGAGCGUGAAGAGGUCUCAGAGAAUCGGUGGCUGCGACUGUUUACUAAAAACACAGCACUCUGCAAAGACGAAAGUCGACGUAUAGGGUGUGAUGCCUGCCCGGUGCUGGAAGAUUAAUUGAUGGGGUGCAAGCUCCUGAUCGAAGUCCCAGUAAACGGCGGCCGUAACUAUAACGGUCCUAAGGUAGCGAAAUUCCUUGUC